rnacentral:rRNA from 1 species
GACGAACGCUGGCGGCGUGCUUAACACAUGCGAGUCGAACGAAGAGCGAUGGAAGCUUGCUUCUAUCAAUCUUAGUGGCGAACGGGUGAGUAACGCGUAAUCAACCUGCCCUUCAGAGGGGGACAACAGUUGGAAACGACUGCUAAUACCGCAUACGAUCUAACCUCGGCAUCGAGGAAAGAUGAAAGGUGGCCUCUAUGUAUAAGCUAUCACUGAAGGAGGGGAUUGCGUCUGAUUAGCUAGUUGGAGGGGUAACGGCCCACCAAGGCGAUGAUCAGUAGCCGGUCUGAGAGGAUGAACGGCCACAUUGGGACUGAGACACGGCCCAGACUCCUACGGGAGGCAGCAGUGGGGAAUCUUCCGCAAUGGACGAAAGUCUGACGGAGCAACGCCGCGUGAGUGAUGACGGCCUUCGGGUUGUAAAGCUCUGUUAAUCGGGACGAAAGGCCUUCUUGCGAAUAGUUAGGAGGAUUGACGGUACCGGAAUAGAAAGCCACGGCUAACUACGUG